CGGCCGCCAGCCGGUAGGGUGAUUAACUCACCGUCUGUCUUUGCAAAAGUGUUCCAGGUGGAUCAGGAGCGCCAGCCCACCCCGCCCGCAGCCUGGCCGCUCGCUGAGGCGCGGAGAGCGCGGAACGAGCGCGCGCAUCACGUGGCGGCGCGGACGUUUGUGCCGCGCGCCCGCCAGACCGCCCAGGAGGCGGCGGCUAUUGUUCCCCGCAGGGGCCCGGGGCGCCCUGAAACGGGGUCCACGUCAGCCCGCUCCCGAGCGUGUCCUCAGGUCUAAGGACGGGUGGGGCUUCCUUUGUGUGUUCUCUGGAAGGGGCUGGGAUGGCGUCGUUGCUGCCCCAAGGGGUAACCGAGGGGGAUUGAGGGAAGAUGGUACCAGCUCCCUAGAGCUCAGCUCACCAGACCUACUCUUCCGCUCGACCCUUGCAGAGGAGGUGGGGACGGAUAUGGUAUUUGUAGGGCAGCGCUGUGAACAAUGGAGCCAUCAAAAAGGCCUUCUCCCAGCCUCCUCACCAACCACGGACAUUCCUGGCCCAACAAGACCUCCUGGCCAGGUUUUGAGCCCUGCUUCCCAGAUCUGGGGACCCUUCACCUGCCUCUACUACUGCAAAUGAUUGGAUAUUCGUCUGACUUGGCUCUUCCCUAAUGUGUGGAACUAAUUUUGUUCACUCUGUUUCAUGCUGGACCUGGCCUGAAAAUGGGCCCUUAUAUUGUCUUUGCACUUUCCAACUUGCCAAGUUUCUGAAAGAAGGACCAAAGUAAUGCCAAGAACUCCCAGAUGAAGAGGACCUUCCUUAGACCUAUAACAGAUUCACUACUUGACUUCAGAGGGAAGUUUCAGCUAAUUCUCAGGAAAAGGUCAAAACAGGCCUGUGACUGUCCCUUGAAUACUGAAGGUAUAAACAAGCUUCUGGCUCCUCCAGGUCAAGCAGAGGAACACUUUUAUUAGAAUGAAGGGUUACUUCUUUGUUAUUCAAACACACACCCACACACAUCCUCUGUAGUCUCCCUAAUGAAAAACCUCAACAGAUGGAGAGCCUGAGCUCCCAAGUCCGCAGGCUGAGAAGAUGCACUUCACUCAAGGGCCAGUGGGCUGGUACAGACUAGGGAAGAGAAAAGGGACAAAGGCUGCUAGUAUAGGUAAUCACUAUCUUUUAAUACUCCUAACACAUAGAAAUUCGAAAAAUCUUGUUCAGCAAUGUUAGCAGCCUGUGAGCCUCGGAAACUAAUUUGGCUGAUGUGUCUCUGAUAGGGAGCUUGGGGCUGCACCAAGGGGAAACAUUCUCCUCCUGUAUUCUCUCCUCUCUCUCGUUUGAAAGCCUGUACAAAGAAAUGGUACAAAUGGAUGGUUAACUUAAUGAUUCCAUCAGAGGCAGAUUUUUCUCUGUCAGGUCCCUGGAUAAGGUGGAGGUCUGAAAGCCAGGAGACAGAAUAUGUACUUAAUCGCCCUUUCUGACCUGCUUACCAGUGACCAGGACUACUCUCCAGGCCUUUCUUCUGCCACUUCCCCAUUCUUCCUGGCUAGUUCAGUUGGGUCUCAGCACUUCAACUCCUGGCUGGAUCCUGAGUUUUUCUUGGUUGCAGGGAAAGCUCUCACUGUCUGCAUCUCCUUCCCCACCCCCACCUCCCGUUUUGCAGCUGGCCAUUCUGGCUGCCUCACAGCUAUCCUGCCUUAAUUCAUAUUUGAUUGCCUGGACAGAACCACCUAGAAUGUCCAGACGACUGCCACCCCUCAGCCAUGGGCCUGAGAUCCUGCCCUGACCCCUUUCUUCAGACCCCAGGAGGACCCACAAUCUCCCUGAUCCCCACCUUCCCCAAAGUAGUCUCUAGGAAAAAAGCAGAGCUGGCUAAGGCCUGAGACAGAGCCAUUUCUUCCCCUUGGGCAAACGAGGUAGACCCUCCCAGAGACCAAUGCCGGAGAGGCCCGGAUCCGAGCUCCCUUUAUAUGGCCUCCCCCAUCACGGAUCCCGUGGGAAAACCUGACACACAAUGGCGCGGCUGCUCCGGGCACCCUCAACCCAGCGCCCUGCGGCAAGGCCUGGAGCAGCCUGGUGGUCUUGGUGCGCUCCCUUUGCCCUCCCCGCAACCCUCUGCGAGCACUCGUCCCAGGAGAGAGACCCUGGCUAGGGUGGAGGUUGCCUCCCGCAAAGGGCGCUGUUGCUGGGGCCUCCCCUCCCCCAUUCUCUUGUUUUUCUGCUUCUGAGACUCGGGAGGGAGGCGGCAGGCGCCUCCGCAGCCGAUAGAGCAGCUAUUGUGACCUUCCCUUGCAGAGCGGGAACCCAGCCGAGUGUGUACCGCCGGCGGUGGCGGGGGAGGAGGCGACUGUGUGUGCAAACCUCAGUCGGAGAGGGGGUGGCGCUGGGAAAUAAAGGUUUGCAACCUCAGGCAGUUGGGCCCUUCAGAGGGCGUUUGGUUGUGUUUAGACUCGGUUGCUUUCUAACACUAAUUGCAGGCUCAAAAGGAGCGGAAUUUAUUGCGAAGGCCAAGGCGGCUUGUUUAUAAUUUAUGAAGUUUUAAAUGGCUGUGCCGCGGGCCCCAACUUUCUCCUGGGCUGGCAGCCGCGCGGAAACGCGCCCUCCCCCGGCUCGCCGCCCACCCCCACCCACGCCCCUCAGAUGAGUCUCACGCCAAUGGCAGGAACAGAUCCGAGCUAUUAGAAGUCUCGGGAACCUCCAGAGAUGACAGAAGGUGGCAGAUUUGGUCCAAGCCCUCACCCCACUCGAGAGGAGGGCGUCGGGGAAAGCUGUGGCUGCCUGGAGAGGGAGCCCCUGAUCCCACACUUCCUUGGAGCCUGAGUGUGAGAGGAAGCUAAUGUCAGCCGGGCUAGACACCGUUUAAAGUCUAAUCCAUGAAACCCUAAGCCGCAAAUGACACUUGGGGCUUUGCAGACACCCGCAGACUCAGCAGAUACUCCUGCGGUAACACACUGUGCUGGAAAACGCCUGGAGCCAUGACACAUUACGUAUUUUUAUUAUUAUUUAUGGUAGGAAGAGGAGAUGAGGGAAAAUCGGGCUGAAUCUAAGCAGCCUGACAAUUCAGCUAGUUAAUAUUUAGCCAGUUAAGAAAGGUGGUUGUAAUCCCUGCAAGGCAGUGAGCUCUCCUUUGAUUUCUCUAAUAGCUUAAAAAAUAAUUUCUUACAAGACAAUUAGAAAUUCUGCCUAUGGAUGCAAAUUUCAUAGAAAACAAUGUUAAGCCUUGAAAGUGGGUAAAAUGUGCCUUCGAUUGAAGUCAUUUAUUCUGUUGAUACACUUCUACAACAUAUAUAUUUUAAACCUGCUCAGAUAAAGUGAAAUUUAGCAAAAGGAUAUCCCCUCCCACCCCCAAAUCUAACAUGCCAUUUUAAAAACAGCACAAAGGAACAAGGAAACUAAAUAUUAUUUUGAGCCAUCAUUACUUAGUGAAAUACAAACAUCCAAAUAGAAACGAUUGUUGUUCCACCAGAAGAUUAGAAGUUAAAUUAUUUCCACACAAUAGGAAUUUCACUUCGUGUCAUCGGGGAUGUAGUAGGAGUUGCAUUAUUUGUCAAACCAAAUAGAGAUGCGUGGGCUGACUUUGCUGAAAUACAAAAGAAUUGAACCUUAUCUGAAGGCGUUUUCUAAGUGGCCCCUCCCAUAGAAGCCGGGAAGUUGUCCACCCCUAGCAGAAGCCACAUUAAUAUUUACAAAAUGGUUAUAAAUCCUUGAAGACAUUUUUGCCCAUUUUGUAUAAGAAACAGGAGUAAACAAGGUGUUUAUACUUGUUAUGUUUCAUUAAUGAAAUAUUAUUACUUUACAUCUUGGGGAAUGUUUGUUUUCUUUAGAAAUGAACUAAUGAUCACUACAAAGGAAGAAUUCAUGACAGCAUUUCCUAGAGAAAAAGCUUAGGUACGCGUCUCCAAAUGAUGGUUUCUUUUUCUACACCUUAGCUUUUUCAUAGCUCAAUUCUUCUUACAACUUCUCUUGUGUUUUUUCUUUGAUUGUCAGUUUUCUUUCAAAGUUUAUUUUUUGUUACUUAAUGCAGAAAAGUGAGCUCUGGUCUCCCCAGUGUAAAAGUCGAUUGUGUCUAGAAAGAAGGCAGUAAAAACAGCAAAGCAGGCGCUGCUUUCAAAAAGCCCUGCCCAAAUCAUCCCGCCCAGAACCUUCUUAGGUUUGCAUCCUCAUUUCCCCCUCCCCUAAUUUCAAUAGCUGGAAAGUAAUCAAGUAUCCCGAGAACCAAUUUAUGCACUAGACUCCAAAUAAAUAAAAUAUUUUUUUCAAA
rnacentral:lncRNA from 1 species